rnacentral:rRNA from 1 species
AUGAAGGCCUUCUGGGUUGUAAACUUCUUUUAUGAGGGAAGAAAACUAUGGUUUCUACUAUAGCCGACGGUACCUUAGGAAUAAGCACCGGCUAACUCCGUGC